rfam:Oryza sativa Japonica Group DNA, chromosome 3, cultivar: Nipponbare, complete sequence.
AAAGAAAAAAAACAUAGAUUUUCGUGUUCAACGUUUGACUGUUCGUGUAAUAUAAUUUUUUUAUAAUUAGUAUUUUUAUUGUUGUUAGAUGAUAAAACAUAAUUAAUACUUUAUGCGUAACUUAUCUUUUUAAUUUUGUUCAUAAUUUUUUCAGAUAACGGUUAAACGUUGAACACGGAAACUCAGGGUU